GAGUCCAUCAGCAAACCAGCUAAGCACACAGAACAGUAUAUCGAAUGGGGAACGUGAUGGUCCCACACCUGCAUCUUCAUACACCCUGACAUGUAAAGAUCCCAAGAUUCAGGAACUAGUAGAUGACUGCCCUUCGUUCGACCUUGGCUUCUAAGCAUAAGUUUGAAAUUCGAAUUGCCCCAUGGAACUGUUGACGAUAUGCUGGAGUCCGUAAUAACUGAACGAGGUGGCAACAGCCUGUGAUGUUUGGUUCAUGGCAUCCGUGCAGCAUACCCCAAAAUUUGUCUUGAUUUACCAAGUCCUAUCUUACGGUUGACAGUACUAGGUGGAUCAGUCUCGCAUGGAACGCCUUGCCCAGGAUGUAAAAUUCUGGCAUCCUUCAUGCAAGCAAAUCUACCAGCCUCGGGGAACAAUAAUUCUCCCACGGUUGCUCGUUCGACGUUCAGGAUUCAUGGCCUUCUUUUCAUCACGUGACGGUGAAAGGGACUCUUCCGUGUGUCCCUGUCGUGGACCGGCAGCUGUUAGGCGAAGCACCAGCUGACCUGGAAUUCCACUCCUGAACGCGAAGCAGCCGAAGCAUGCUGCUCGCGCGCGACGAGGAUCCCUCUGUCCGCGUCAUCCGCUCGCGCGAGACCUGGUGCGGGAAGUCUCGGAA